rnacentral:rRNA from 1 species
GAUGAACGCUGGCGGCGUGCCUAAUACAUGCAAGUCGAGCGAACAGACGAGGAGCUUUCUCCUCUGCCGUUAGCGACGGGCGGGUGAGUAAGACGUGAAUAACCUACCUAUUAUACUGGGAUAACUUCGGGAUACCGCUGCUACUACCGGAUAAUACAUUCUACCGGAUGGUUCAAUAGUGAUUGACGCUUUUGGUGAUUCUUUUAGAUGGAUUCGGGUUGUAUUAGCUAGUUGGUAAGGUCACGGCUUACCAAGGCAACGAUGCGGAGCCGAACUGAGGGGGUGGUCAGCCACACUGGAACUGAGACACGGUCCAGAGUCCUACGGGAGGCAGCAGGAGGGAAUCUUGGGCAAUGGGCGAAAGCUUGACGGAGCAAGGCCGCGUGGGUGAUGAAGGUCGUCGGGUCGUAAAACUCUGUUAUUGGGGAAGAACAAAAGUGUGAGUAUCUAUACACGUCUUGACGGUACCUAAUCAAAAAGCCACGGCUAACUUCGUG